AUUGAAAAGGUACAAUUCAAUAUCCCUUAAUCCAUUGAGAGAGUUGUGCAACUAUCAGAAUUAUAGACCAUUUCCAUCACCUCAAAAGAAACCCCACAUCACUUAGUGUCACUCCCAGCUUCCUGCCUCUCCCAGCCCCAGACAGCCACCAAUCUACUUCCUGCCACUAUAGAUUUGCCUAUUCUGGUCAUUCAUAUAAACGGAAUCACACAACAUGAGGUCCUUCGUGACUAGAUUCUUUCACGUAACAUCCCAUUUCCAGGGUUUCCCCAUGUUAUAGCACAUACCAAUAUGUUAGGUUGCCCAACAUUUUCAAACAAUUAAACAUAAAAUUAAAACCCUAAUUUGAUAGAGAAUCGUUCAACCAAAUGUUCACUUUCCACCUCUGUAAACAAAAGAAAAAAAAAAGGAAACCAGCCUUCCUUCACUCUGCAGCCAGACUGUGUGUACAGAUUGAUGGCACAUUCUUAACUAUACAGUUUUGGGGAUGACUUUUCUCAUCUGCUAGAGCAAGUUGUUUUCAUCUACUCAUCUGAGUACUUGCUAACGCAUCCCAACAUAAUUAGCUGCUAGGGAUGAAUUGAUUUGGGAACUUGGUUUAGGGCAAGAUUCUGCUAUUUCCAUGUCAGUGGCUUACUCUGUAUCUCAUCGUCAUAUAAUUUGUAUGUUCAGUCUAUGAGGUAGCAUCCACAUGUAGUCCAUGCUGAUUACACACUGCGUAGCACAGGGAUAAAGUGACUUACAAACUAUUACUAGCAGACAAAAAGUACUGUUGGGUAGAGGAAUUGAUAAAAUUAUGAAGCCCUGAGGAUGUAUUUUGGGCUUCCAGCUCCCCAUUUGCUGCCGUCGUCAAUGGUGUGAAGAAUGAUUUCUGCAUAACUUGUCCUGAGGAUGAAAAAGAAGAGUUCAGGAACUACCAGGGCUUAACACAAUCUCAGGAAUCUAGUUUCCACCAAGAAAAGAAGAAAAAUGAGAAAUUACAAAAAGAGGUUGCCAGGUUGAAGACACACUUGAAGGUGAUGCACGGGAUCUUAAAUGAAUAUGAAAACGAACAGUUUAGUUUCCCUGAAGAUUCAAAACCCA